UACGAAGGGGGCGAGCGUUGCUCGGAAUUACUGGGCGUAAAGGGCCCGUAGGCGGCCAGUCUAGUCAGGUGUGAAAGUCCUGGGCUUAACCUGGGGAGUGCAUUUGAUACUGGGUUGCUUGAAUUCGGGAGAGGAUAGCGGAAUUCCCAGUGUAGAGGUGAAAUUCGUAGAUAUUGGGAAGAACACCGGUGGCGAAGGCGGCUAUCUGGAUCGACAUUGACGCUGAGGCGCGAAAGCGUGGGGAGCAAACAGG
rnacentral:rRNA from 1 species